rnacentral:rRNA from 1 species
UUGAACGCUGGCGGCAUGCCUUACACAUGCAAGUCGAACGGUAACGCGGGGCAACCUGGCGACGAGUGGCGAACGGGUGAGUAAUACAUCGGAACGUGCCCAUUAGUGGGGGAUAGCCCGGCGAAAGCUGGAUUAAUACCGCAUACGACCUACGGGUGAAAGCGGGGGAUCGCAAGACCUCGCGCUAUUGGAGCGGCCGAUGUCAGAUUAGCUAGUUGGUGGGGUAAAAGCCUACCAAGGCGACGAUCUGUAGCUGGUCUGAGAGGACGACCAGCCACACUGGGACUGAGACACGGCCCAGACUCCUACGGGAGGCAGCAGUGGGGAAUUUUGGACAAUGGGGGCAACCCUGAUCCAGCCAUGCCGCGUGCGGGAAGAAGGCCUUCGGGUUGUAAACCGCUUUUGUCAGGGAAGAAACGGUCUGCGCUAAUACUGCGGACUAAUGACGGUACCUGAAGAAUAAGCACCGGCUCACUACGU